rnacentral:lncRNA from 10 species
UUUAACAGACAAGGACAUUGAGGCUCAGUAAGGUGAGAUGACUUGCUCCAGAUCACACAGGGUUGAAGCUGAAAUUUUAAUCUAGAGUCCAGUUCCAGAAUCUGUGCUUAUAAACUGUGCUGUGCUGUAUUUGCUUUAAGAAUAUAAGGGUCAUUUCCUGCUUGAAUAAUCAAGGAAGGCAUGAUGGAAAAGUUAGGGGCAUCAUAAAACCCAAAGACAAUUCUGAUCAUAUUUUUACUUCAACACUUCUACAGGAAAGAAAGCCUUCCCAUCACUAAUAGUGAGUUCUCUGGCAGCAAGCCUCAGUCAUUGCAGCAGGAAUACUGCUUAAAUAUUAUACUGGUAUGUGUGGGGUAAUUUGAAGUCUACCAUCCAUCACCAUCACCACCAAACCUAAUGUAUGAGUUGCCUAUUCCUUCCCGGGAUAGCACACUGCACUACUGAGGAUCACUGUUCUAUGGAAGUAGUUUUCAAACUUGAGCAUGCAUAAAAAGAAGAGCGAAGAGGCUUGUUAAAUACAGCUCUCUUUCAGCAGGUCUGGGGUACUUACUACUAAUGAGCAGUUUUUAGGAAGCAUCCUAGAUGAUUCCGUGUAUCCAGGUGGGCCACAGAAACAUUUGCAAAAACAUUACAUCGGAGCCAUUGUUGACUAUCCCUAAUCUGUAAGAAGCCAAUAGUCAUCGAGACCCAAUGGAGCAAUGCAGCAGAAUGGGGGAAGCCCAGGGGGCAGAGUGAGGGCAUCACCAGGUGAGGAAAAGCAAGAUGGUAAGGCAGAAGGGAAUGGGGAAACCCAAACAAUGAAGAAAUAGAUAUCAUCUAUAUAUCUAUAUCUUUCAAUUUAUCUAUAUAU